AUCCGGUUGAAAUAAAAAUUUAUACCCAAUAGAUCUUUUACAUUUUCUCAAACUCAAUUUUUACACAUUUUUCUUGUUACAUAUUUUCAUAAUAAAAAAUUCGUAUUGUUGUUAUUUUUAAAAUUUUACAUUUAAAUAUUGUUAAAAUCUUUUUGUUAAAUAUUUCUAAUAAACAAACUCUAUCGCAACAAGUUAUGUAUUGUUUAUAUUAUUAUUUGAAAUGAUCGUAAAUUUUAGCGGUAAUGCCAAGUUCAAUAUUACGUAUCGGUUCACGGCGAAUUCAAAUGUCAUCGUUUGAAUUAGUCACUAGAGGGCUUAUAGCCUGGAAAGAAUUGUCAUUUAGGGUUGGGCUAAAUUUUCAUGAAGGUGAGGUAGUAUCUAACCAGGAAACCAUCAUCCUUUUCCGUUUUAUCUGGCCUACCAUCAACACCUAAACUCUAAAGAUUGAGUUAAUACUACGGGUAAAUAUAGCUAAAGAAAUUGAACAUUUUUGAAAGUGCAGGAUUCCCUGUUUGAAGGAAAUCUCAACGAUUUAAUCAUAAAGGAAUAGUAAACUUUUUAAGUGGAUUCCAUCCUCAUAAUUGUUCCGUAAAUCCAUCAAUCACACUUAGCAAUCAAGAAAGAUAAGGUAAUUUUAACCAAAUCCUCUUUCUUAUUCAGAAUCUGGAUACUAAUAUUUGAAAUAUUUUUCCAAAACCAUUUACAGGCCUUUUACUCCUUGGAGAGUUAAAAUUACUUCGUUAAUUUUUCAUUUAUUUUUGACAUAAAAUCCAUCGAAUCUUUAUUCUUUUAAUUCUGUUUGGUUGAUGUCAAAAAAAAAGAAGAAUAAGAAUAAUAGGACAGGAGAACGAAAGGAGAGGAAAAGAUCUGUCAAUAUUUGAUCCCACUAAAAUUCCCAUAAGAAGAAGCAUCAUCACUUCUAUAAGAGUUAAAGUAUCAACAUAGAUCAAUGUAAAAUCAAAGAUAAACGAAUACAGAUCAAAGUGAAAUUGAGAAAUUUACAAAAACUUAUAUGUGAAAACUAGAAAAAGAUAGUGAAACUUGAAAUUUAAAGUAAUUAUUAAGUAAAAUUUGCAUUUAAUUAAAUUAAAAGUAGAAAAAAAGAAAAA